rnacentral:rRNA from 1 species
GAUGAACGCUAGCGGCAGGCUUAACACAUGCAAGUCGAGGGGUAGAGGAAGCUUGCUUCCUUGAGACCGGCGCACGGGUGCGUAACGCGUAUGCAAUCUACCUUGUACAGGGUGAUAGCCCAGAGAAAUUUGGUUUAAUACCACAUAGUAUUACUGAAUGGCAUCAUUUGAUUAUUAAAGUUCCAACGGUACCAGAUGAGCAUGCGUCCCAUUAGCUAGUUGGUGUGGUAACGGCACACCAAGGCGACGAUGGGUAGGGGUCCUGAGGGGGAGAUCCCCCACACUGGUACUGGGACCCGGACCAGACUCCUACGGGAGGCAGCAGUGAGGAAUAUUGGUCAAUGGGCGCAAGCCUGAACCAGCCAUGCCGCGUGCAGGAUGACGGUCCUAUGGAUUGUAAACUGCUUUUGUACAGGAAGAAACACUCCCUCGUGAGGGAGCUUGACGGUACUGUAAGAAUAAGGAUCGGCUAACUCCGUGCCAGCCGCCGCAGUAACAC